GAUGAACGCUGGCGGCGUGCCUAAUACAUGCAAGUCGAGCGAACAGACGAGGAGCUUGCUCCUCUGACGUUAGCGGCGGACGGGUGAGUAACACGUGGAUAACCUACCUAUAAGACUGGGAUAACUUCGGGAAACCGGAGCUAAUACCGGAUAAUAUAUUGAACCGCAUGGUUCAAUAGUGAAAGACGGUUUUGCUGUCACCUAUAGAUGGAUCCGCGCCGCAUUAGCUAGUUGGUAAGGUAACGGCUUACCAAGGCGACGAUGCGUAGCCGACCUGCGAGGGUGAUAGGCCACACUGGAACUGGAACACGGGCCAGACUCCUACGGGAGGACGCAGUAGGGAAUCUUCCGCAAUGGGCGAAAGCCUGACGGAGCAACGCCGCGUGAGUGAUGAAGGUCUUGGGAUCGUAAAACUCUGUUAUUAGGGAAGAACAAAUGUGUAAGUAACUAUGCACGUAUUGACGGUACCUAAUCAGAAAGCCACGGCUAACUACGUG
rnacentral:rRNA from 1 species